GAUGAACGCUGGCGGCGUGCCUAAUACAUGCAAGUCGAGCGAACAGACGAGGAGCUUGCUCCUUUGACGUUAGCGGCGGACGGGUGAGUAACACGUAGGUAACCUACCUAUAAGACUGGGAUAACUUCGGGAAACCGGAGCUAAUACCGGAUAAUAUUUCGAACCGCAUGGUUCGAUAGUGAAAGAUGGCUUUGCUAUCACUUCUAGAUGGACCUGCGCCGUAUUAGCUAGUUGGUAAGGUAACGGCUUACCAAGGCAACGAUACGUAGCCGACCUGAGAGGGUGAUCGGCCACACUGGAACUGAGACACGGUCCAGACUCCUACGGGAGGCAGCAGUAGGGAAUCUUCCGCAAUGGGCGAAAGCCUGACGGAGCAACGCCGCGUGAGUGAUGAAGGUCUUCGGAUCGUAAAACUCUGUUAUUAGGGAAGAACAAACGUGUAAGUAACUGUGCACGUCUUGACGGUACCUAAUCAGAAAGCCACGGCUAACUACGUG
rnacentral:rRNA from 1 species